rnacentral:tRNA from 1 species
GCAAGCAUGGUGUAGCGGAAACACACCGGAUUUCGGAGACGCGGGUUCAAAUCCCGCUGCUUGCA